CUUUUUUUUGCACUGCUCUCUCCUUUGGCUGUGAUAGGAUCCUCCCCCGGUGCAGACAAGCGGUGGCACUGUCCCUCGGGGGUGCUCGUCCCGUUCUUGCUUGCUGGGACACGGCUCUGCUCCAGCGCCUUUCCCUGACCCUGCUCACCUGGGUGCACCUGUCCUGGGUUCGUCAUCUCGCUCUGCUCAUCGCCUCUGGGGGCUGGCUGACGUCAGGGAACGAUGGCCGGGACCGCCCGCUCGGGCGCUGCUUCGCCUUCCGCGGCCCCGGAGCGCGGCCAGCGCAGCCUGGGCUGUUCGCGCCGCUGCUGAUCCCGAUCCCACUGCUGCAGAUCCUGAUCCCACUGGUCCCGAUCCCGCUGCUGCAGAUCCCGAUCCUACUGCUGCCGAUCCUGCUGCUGCUGUAGCUCCGUGUGGCGUGCGGCCGCGGUCUCUCGCCCGGAACAGGCAACACCAAAUUAUCCAGCCUGGCCACGGCCGAGGGAAUGCGGCAAGCAGCCGCCGAGGUCACCGCAGCGAGGCUGAGCACGGACACCAAGGAAUAACAAACCAAACCUGCUGGGGAUUUGCAAUGCAAGCAACCUUUCCAGGUUUCUUUUCCGCAUUGCUCCCAGCCUGCUGUUGGAUUUGAGAUCAUGUCGGUUAACAUUGUAGCUUUUGGGAAUGAACGAGAUGGUUUUUCCGAGGACAAUCAGCAGCCCGGCCUGAUCUGGAGUUAUCUCAGGAGAAGUGCGCUCAUUUCCCAGAUCGACAGCAGCCUGUCCGCCAGUCACGUUGGAAACCCAGUUUUUACUGAGUAUCAAGCCUGCGUAUUUGGAAAUGUCAGACUGGUGGUACACGACUGUCCUGUCUGGGAUUUAUUUGACAGUGACUGGUAUACUUCCUGCAGGCUCAUUGGAGGAGCUGAUAUUAUUUUGAUUAAAUACUCUGUCAAUGAUAAGACUUCAUUUCAAGAACUAAAGGACAGCUAUGUGCCAAUGGUAAAAAAAGCAUUAAAUCACUGCUCAAUUCCAGUAAUAAUUUCUGCUAUUGGUGCAAGAAAAAACGGAGUGCCUUGCACCUGUCCCCUGUGCACUUCAGACAGGAGGAGCUGUGUCACAACCGCUGAAGGAGUUCAGCUUGCAAAGGAACUUGGAGCCACUUACCUUGAACUGCACACUCUUAAUGACUUCUACAUACAGAAAUACUUUGGAGGAGUGCUGGAAUAUUUUAUGAUCCAAAGUUUGAACCAGAAGUCAUCUGAAAAAAUGAAGAAAAGGAAAAAGAUGCAGAAGUGCCAUCGAGUACAACCACCUCAGCUUGAACAGCCAGAAAAGAUGCCAAUCCUGAAGGGUGAAGCCUCUCAUUACAAUGCAGACCUGCACAACCUGCUCUGCUGCUGCCAGUGCGCAGACGUGGCCUUCUACCCUGAGGACCUCAGCACAGCUGUGGAGGCUCACAAGAUCAUCCUCUGCUCUGUCAGCCACCUCUUCAUGCUGCUGUUUGGGGUGAAGAGCCCGUCCAACGCCCAUGACGCCUCCACCCUGCAGCUGGCACAGAGCCUCUUUGCAGUGGAGACAGGGGAUCCCUUCCCCUCCUCCCCCCGUGGUGUCCCACCCUGUGUCCCUCCAGUCAGGGUGGUGGUGAAGGAUUCUGUCUUCUGCUCUUGUCUCCCAGACAUCCUCCACUUCAUUUAUUCAGGUGCUUUCCAGUGGGAACGAUUAGAAGAGGACAUAAAAAAGAAGUUGAAGGAUCCAGAUAAAACAGAACAUGUGCUUGAGAAAGUUAAAUGCAUCCUGAAAACUCCAGGGAAGCUAAACACUGUAAAGGACUGCAAGUCUCAUCAGAUAAAACAGCUCUAUAAUACUUCCCUCAGGCUGUUCUUUAACACACCUGUGCUGGCUGAUGUAAUCUUCAAAAUACAAGGUACAACUGUACCAGCCCACAGGGCAGUUCUGGUGGCCCGCUGUGAGGUUAUGGCAGCUAUGUUUAAUGGUAAUUAUCUAGAAGCAAAUAGCAUUCUGGUUCCAGUGUAUGGGGUCUCCAAAGACACUUUCCUGUCCUUCCUGGAGUACCUUUAUACUGACUCCUGCUGCCCAGCCAGUAUUCUCCAAGCGAUGUCUCUGCUGAUCUGUGCAGAGAUGUACCAAGUAAUGAGACUCCAGCAUAUUUGUGAACUUUACAUCAUCACGCAGCUUCAGAGCAUGCCUAGCAGGGAACUGGCUUCCACAAGCCUCAGUAUUGUUAGCUUGCUCAAAAAAGCUAAGUUUCACAAUUCUGAUUGCCUUUCAACUUGGCUUCUUCAUUUUAUUGCCACUAACUACCUCAUCUUCAGUCAAAAGCCUGAAUUUCAAGAACUUUCAGGUUCAGGACAGCAGCACAGCAGCAGGGAGUGUCUCUCCAAGGGCUUUUCAAGACCUAUGUCCUACACAGAAUCGCAGAAUCUGCUGAGAUGGAAGAACGCACAAGGAUCACUGAGUGCAACUCCUGCCCCUUCACGGCACCGUCCCCAAGAGUCACACCAUGAGAGCGUUGUCCAAAAGCUUCAUGAACCUGUCGGGCUGGUGCUGUGACCACUGCCCUGGGGAGCCUGUUCCAAUGCCCAAACACACUGGGGCAAGAACCUUUUUCUAAUCCAGCCUAAACCUCCCUGGCACAACUUCAGGCCUUUGAUCCUGUAACUGGUCACCACUGAGAAAAGAUCAGUGUCUGCCCCUCCUUUUCCCCUCUGGCCCUCUUCUUCCCCUCAAAAGGAAGUUGCAGACCGCAGUGAGGUCUCCCUCAGUCUCCUCCAGGCUGAACAGACCAAGUGCACCGCUUCCCCUCAAGGCCCUUUAUUUUUCUCCUUUGACACUCUCUAAUGGUUUAAUUUGAUUCUUAUAAUGUAGAGCCCAAAUCUGCCCCAGGACUUGACGUGGUGCCAUCCUAGCGGACAGCAGAGCAGGACAAUCCCCUCUUUUGCUUGGCUGGCCAUGCUGUCCCACCACAACAGAGAUGUCCUUCCUGGCUGCCAGGGCACUGCUGACUCAUGUUCCACUUGCCAUUGACCAAGAGCCCCAGGUCCCUUUCCAGGGCACUGCUCUCCAAUAUCUCAUUCCUCAGUCUGUCCAUACAUCCAGGGUUACUCCAUCCCAGGCUCAGAGUCCUGCACUUUCCCUUUUUGAACUUCCUAUGACUGGUGAUCACCCAGUCUUCUAAUUCACUGAGGGGGCCUCCCUGCCUCUGACGGAGUCAACAGCUCCUCCCAGAUUUGUACCAUCUGCAAACUUGCUCAGUGUCCUUUCCAGUCCUUCAUCCAAGUCAUCUACAAAGAUGUUGAAGAACACAGGGCCAAGGAUGGAGGCCUUUGGAUCCCUGCUAGUGACAGGUCCUAUGUCUGAUGUCACCCCAGCCACUGUAGCCCUUUGUGCUUGACCUGUGAGCCAGUUGCUCACCCUUCACAUGAUGUGUUUGUCGAGCUGAGAUAUACAUCUUGUCAAGAAGAAUCCUGUGAGAAACAGUAUCAAAAGCUUCACUGUCAGCCAAGAACAUUACAUCAACUGGCUUCCCUUGAUCAACUCGUGGAAGAACGCAAUUUUGUAGAGAUGCACCGAUGGCCUUCAAACUUGUACCUGAAGCAACUUGCUGAUUACAGGAACUAUAUCCACU